rnacentral:rRNA from 1 species
UACGUAGGGGGCACGCGUUGUCCGGAUUUAUUGGGCGUAAAGAGCGUGUAGGCGCCAGACAGGUCCGUUGUGAAAACUAGAGGCUUAACCUCUAGACGUCGAUGGAAACCGUCUGGCUAGAGUCCGGAAGAGGAGAAUGGAAUUCCUGGUGUAGCGGUGAAAUGCGCAGAUAUCAGGAAGAACACCCGUGGCUAAGGCGGUUCUCUAGUACGGUACUGACGCUGAGACGCGAAAGCGUGGGGAGCGAACAGG